rnacentral:lncRNA from 1 species
AACUUUUCUUGGGUCGACUCAAACCUUGGGUCAGCUCAAACUUUUCUUGGGUCGACCCAACUUCAGGAAAUUCAGAAUCUUGAAUUUCAGCCUUUCUUCACUUGGGUCGACUCAACCUUUCUUUGGGUCGACUCAAGGUUUACUUGGGUCGACUCAACUUCUUCUUGGGUCGACCCUCUCAGUAAAUCCAGAGAACCAUUUUUCCUUCAUGUUUUGAGGUUCUUGAAGUUUGGGUCGACUCAUGCUUACCUUGGGUCGACCCAACCAACUGUUCAUCUGUGCCAUUUUUGCAGGAGUGUGCCAAAUGAUUUCUUGAUGUGCCGGGGUCGACUCAAACAAUCUUUGGGUCGACUCAAUCCACACUUUGCUGCAUUCUCAAGAUUAGAUCCAUCCAAAUGAACAAGAUCAUAUAUAUAUUUUCAAUUAAGCAUAUGUACUGAGAGUAAUGAACUUAUAAAUGAAGUAUCAAUUUAACUUAUAGCAUGCUUUGGAUAAUUGUUUGUUAAUCAUCAAAAUAAC